CGCGGCCUAUCAGCUUGUUGGCGAGGUCACGGCUCACCAAGGCGACGACGGGUAGCUGGUCUGAGAGGAUGGCCAGCCACAUUGGGACUGAGAAACGGCCCAGACUCCUCCGGGAGGCAGCAGUGGGGAAUCUUGCGCAAUGGACGAAAGUCUGACGCAGCGACGCCGCGUGGGGGAUGACGGGUUUCGGCUUGUAAACCCCUGUUGCCCGGGACGAACCGCCUUUUUCGAGAGGCUUGACGGUACCGGGUGAGGAAGCACCGGCUAACUCCGUGCCAGCAGCCGCGGUAAUACGGAGGGUGCGAGCGUUGUCCGGAAUCACUGGGCGUAAAGGGCGCGUAGGUGGCGCGGCAAGUCAACGGUGAGAGCUCGACGCUCAACGUCGAGUCGGCCGUCGAUACUGCCGCGCUGGAGCACUGUAGAGGCUCAUGGAAUUCCGGGUGUAGCGGUGGAAUGCGUAGAGAUCCGGAAGAACACCGGUGGCGAAGGCGGUGAGCUGGGCAGUUGCUGACACUGAGGCGCGACAGCGUGGGGAGCAAACAGGAUUAGAUACCCUGGUAGUCCACGCCGUAAACGAUGGGCACUAAGUGCUUGGGGGAGCGACCCUCUGAGUGCCGACGCUAACGCAUUAAGUGCCCCGCCUGGGGAGUACGG
rnacentral:rRNA from 1 species